rnacentral:rRNA from 1 species
GAACGGACGAGAAGCUUGCUUCUCUGAUGUUAGCGGCGGACGGGUGAGUAACACGUGGAUAACCUACCUAUAAGACUGGGAUAACUUCGGGAAACCGGAGCUAAUACCGGAUAAUAUUUUGAACCGCAUGAUUCAAAAGUGAAAGACGGUCUUGCUGUCACUUAUAGAUGGAUCCGCGCUGCAUUAGCUAGUUGGUAAGGUAACGGCUUACCAAGGCAACGAUGCAUAGCCGACCUGAGAGGGUGAUCGGCCACACUGGAACUGAGACACGGUCCAGACUCCUACGGGAGGCAGCAGUAGGGAAUCUUCCGCAAUGGGCGAAAGCCUGACGGAGCAACGCCGCGUGAGUGAUGAAGGUCUUCGGAUCGUAAAACUCUGUUAUUAGGGAAGAACAUAUGUGUAAGUAACUGUGCACAUCUUGACGGUACCUAAUCAGAAAGCCACGGCUAACUACGUGCCAGCAGCCGCGGUAAUACGUAGGUGGCAAGCGUUAUCCGGAAUUAUUGGGCGUAAAGCGCGCGUAGGCGGUUUUUUAAGUCUGAUGUGAAAGCCCACGGCUCAACCGUGGAGGGUCAUUGGAAACUGGAAAACUUGAGUGCAGAAGAGGAAAGUGGAAUUCCAUGUGUAGCGGUGAAAUGCGCAGAGAUAUGGAGGAACACCAGUGGCGAAGGCGACUUUCUGGUCUGUAACUGACGCUGAUGUGCGAAAGCGUGGGGAUCAAACAGGAUUAGAUACCCUGGUAGUCCACGCCGUAAACGAUGAGUGCUAAGUGUUAGGGGGUUUCCGCCCCUUAGUGCUGCAGCUAACGCAUUAAGCACUCCGCCUGGGGAGUACGACCGCAAGGUUG